UCUUAUGCCAGGGCAGUUUAUCUCUUUGCAGAUACUGCAAUGAACAAGAUUUACCACUAUAGCUUCCCCCCUCCGCACUGUCAGGGGUCUGAGCUUCAAAUCAGAGGGGAAACUAUGAAGAGCACGACUAGAAGAAAGAGUUGCUGAGAAUAUCAAGCACAAAACCACAGAAGGUGCUGAGCCUGCCCACUGGAGUCCAACCUAGUCACACGCCUUCUCGACUUCUCCUGCUUUGCUUGUUUGGAGUCCCCUGGGGAUUUCAAUGACACAACCAGACACUGCUUUAUGUUUCAGUGGUUCCAAGUUUUCAAGUCGAUUUAAGGUUCAUAGACCUGACGUUGUGUAGUCAGGAAGAUCUGGCUUUGCACAGAGAAAAGAAUCCACACAGAGAUUCCCUGAUGACAGCAAGAGGCAAGUGUUUAUCCCUCUCACAGGUGAGACUGGGGGCCUCGGAAUGGGCUGGGCAGAGUUUAGAUCACAUCAGACUGUGCAGAUAGCACAUGAAACAGAAAAUAGCAUUUUUUAUUUUUGCCACUCGAGAUCUUCACAGCAAUGAGAGUCCCUGGCAGAUUGCUGACAAGAAAGGUCCAAGGCAAAGGUCUCGCCACCCACCCACACAGUACGAAGACAGGGCCCAUGUUGGUGUUCCUCAGCAUUGUGAAUGCAUGCGCAAUGCUUCCGAUCUCAAAGAAACCAUUUGUUCUCCAUCGGAGCAAUCUUGGUAAAUGUCACCAUGGCUUCAUUUACUGCACACAGGUCAACAGCUCCCAAAUAUGAGAAAGUAGAAGUUACCUUUGAGCACCUUUCCAUGUACUUUUGAGAGAGAGGGGGGGGUGGGGAAGUGCCUGCCAUAGAUGCAGGCUGGGGAUUGGGGGAAGGUGGGAGGGAAAUUGGAGUUAUUGCUGGUGGGAAAUGUACACUUGUGGAGGGAUAGAUGUUGGGACAUUAUAUGACCGAAACCUGACCGUGAGCAGCUUUGUAACUAUGUAUCUCAUGGUGACUCCAAAAAAAGUGAAUUUUGAUUAAUUAAUUAAUUAACUGUCAGAGGAACCCAGGCAUGCAGGUCCCGGGCUGAGGUCUCUAAGCCUACUCAGAUUAGGAAUAGGCCUUCUCCACCCAGACCCCCCUCAUCUUCCAGUAGGUAGGCAUCACACCCACCAGCUGCCAACAGAGCCAGGUUGGUCUCAUCAAUGGCCAAGAUGCAGAGACUAUAAAACCCAGCUCCCGGAAGCACGCGGCCGCAUUGCAUUUGCGGCCAUGCGACAUCUUAUUUUUUUCCUUUGGAGAACCUGGCAGGCACCAAAAGUAUCCUGCCCACACAGCAGAGUCUGGAAAACUUUCGUGUCGUACUCAAUAUGCCAAAUACCAGUAAUAAUGAUGGGUCUCAUUCUCCUAAUCCUGAAAAAGCAUUGAAAUGGCUCUUUUAAAAUCUCAGGGCUAAGAAGAAGGAGACAUUACUGGUGCCUGCUUGAGGAAAUCAACGAACAACAGGAUGAUUGUGAUCGUGAUCAUGAUUGUGAAUUAAUUAAUUAAGGAGUUGUCCUUGUCAACAAAUUGCCCUCUUCCUUUCUCUUAUCUGUCACUGUCCCCAACCUCCAUAUGAUCUUGCAUUGGACAGGAUGCAACCCUAUUCUGCAAGUAAAAACAAAGUUUUACAAAUACAAUCUCUCUCAUAGUCACAUGGAGAAGGCUUGGCUUCCUUUAAGCCACUGUGACAGUCUGGCUGUAUCUGCCACAGUGUGGUAACGCAGCUCAAUACAGCCCAGUCGCCUCUGCUGGCUAGACAGGACUGCUGUUGGUGGAGCAACUUCAGAUAAAGCCGAAGAAAUGGCUCCUCUAAGUACGACAUGAUCAAGUGUUGCCGUGGUCACCUGCUUUCCCUCCUGAGAAUGUGGUCAUGGGCAUGCCCUUUGUGACAUAGCAAAGCACUGCCUGUUUCUAAGACAGUAUCAGACAGAACUGUCUACUUCUAGCUGCAGCAUCCCAGAGCCUCUGGAAACUCUGCUGUUCAGAGUAAGUAGAAUUCGGACCGUUCAAAGAAGCAAACCUAGGUGUGUUUGUAAACAUGGCUGGGACACAGAAGAAAAUACAUGAAAUACUGUUACCAUUCCCAACAUGUCACACCCAGAACCAGUACCGAGGUUGAGGUUCUGACUUUGGAUGGUCACAGUCCCACCCAAGCCGUAGCUCCCCUGAGCAGGCUUGGUGCUGUCCUACAGUCCCUGAACUUCACUGGACAUGGUCCCAGAGACCCCUCAAGCACAGCCCGGGUGGCCCCGCUCAUCUCUUGCACCCCAUGGCCGAGCAGGCUACAUCCUCUUGGCAGUCUCGGGGAAACUGCUAGCAGAAAGCUCCACUGUUGCUUCAAGACCUAGAAAUUAAGUCUGCACUGGUCACGAAUCACGAAUCACAACCAUCCUGUUAUUUGUCAACUGCCUCGAGCAGGCCCCAGUAACGUCUUCUUCAUCCUAGCCCUGAGAUUUUUAAGAAAGUGCCAUAUUCAAGGCUGUUUAGGAGAAUGAGACCAAUCAUUGUUACUGGUAUUUGGCAUAUUGGGUACGCCAUGGGGAGUUUGCCAGACUCUGCCGUGUGGGCAGGCUACACUCGGUAGCCUGCCAGUUUGUCCAAAGUAGGAAUGAGAUAAUAAGAUGUCACGCUUCCGGGAGCUGGGUUUUAUAGUCUCUGAGUCUUGGCCAUUGGUGGGAUUACACAGCACCAGGGGGCCAGUUGGUGGGUGUGACCCCUGCCUACUGGAAGAUGAAGGAUCUGGGUGGAGGAUGCUCAGCCCCGAUCCAAGCAGGCUUGGAGAUCUCAGCCCCGGGACCUGUGUGCCUUUGUUCCUCUGCUGGUACCUUCAUGUGUCUCCUGCCCCCACGCCUGGCUGUCCUCACUGGGGCCCCUUGGAGAGGAGCGGGUUGAGUUUUCCUCCCCACCCCGACCAGUGCUCUGGCAGCCAAAGACCUCCAGAACCAGUCACCACCAUGCUGAGACCACUGCACUGGUCAGGGAUAAACAAAAGUCAAGUGUAUAGCACGCUCCUUUCUGGAAGUUAAUGCAGCCACGCACAGUGGAAUUCGGCUGCUUUGGUAGCUCUUGAUAGAAUCAGGAAUCCUCAAGUGAUCUCAGAAAAAGCAACAUCGUGUUUGAAGGAUACAACAGUAGGUGGAGAUGACUUUCAGCUUCAGACACAGAGACUUGAGUCACACCCCUCAUCACAUACAACGUUUUCUUCCCUCUGCAGUGAUGCUCCAGGAUGUUGAUGGCAUCUUGCGGCAUCCAAACUAUAUCAAGUUCUCUCAACCUUUUCCUUUUCUAUUUAUUAUUUCUGGAGAAAGUAGAAGAGUAGUAGCAAACAGUCACUGCUAGCCUUCACCUCCCUCUGAAGAUAUUUUCUUGACCUCCCACACAAUCUACCGAUUCCUGCCACAUCUCCCGCACAAGCGGUCCUGUGAUCACCCCUCACAAGACCAUUUUUGAAGUGGGACUUUGUUUUGUUGUGCUGAUUGGCACUGACAACAAGCCUGGAAUUCCGUUCACCUCAGAAGAGAAUUUCGUGAUGCGAACUUUCCUGUACAGGCAUGCAACAGCAGCCCAUGCCCAUGCAGAGGUCUCCAAAACCCACAGUGGCGUCUGUCGCCAAGAGAACCUACCGCCUUCUCGUGUCUCAUGAUGCCAGACACCCAGACUCCCCGCUCACUUCUCCCAAACACUGACAGGAAUCAUCACUUACCAGCAAUUGGGAAAAUAAGGAUGAUUUAACUUAGUGCCCACACCUUAUUCUUCAGAGUUCUAAGACCCGUCCUCAAAACUCAUGUU